GUACUCCAUGUCCACCUGCCCCUCCACCAUCCUGUUCUCUUCCAGUGUUUCAGAUCGAGAAUAAGGAACUCAGAUUACCAACUGAUCAGUGAUGAUGAGGAUUACAUCAACUGAAAGUAGAUUCUCCAGGCAAGAAUACUGGAAUGGGAUGUCAUUUCCUGCCCCAGGGAAUCUGCCUCACUCAGGGAUCAAACCUGCAUCUCUGGUGUCUUCUGCAUUGGAAGGUGGAUUCUUUACCACUGUGCCAGCUGGGCAAAUCAUAACUAAAGGCAUACUGAACAUGGGAUUUCAUUAAAUCACAGCAUUUAUAUACUACUCAUGAUUGAGACUUAAAACUGUCAGCUACCCCAGUUUUCAAGCCUUCAGAUUUAAACUGGAACCAUACCCCUGGCUUUUCUGUAUCUCCAGCUUGCAGAUGGCAAAUCUUGAGACUUUU
ensembl:lncRNA